CCUGGUUGCUGUGUCCUGGACCCUUGACAUUGGCCUGAGAGGCCACCAAAUCUAACCUGAUAAUUUUAUAGAAAAGGAAAUAGAGGCUUAGAGAGGUCCAGUCACUUAACUGGUGGCUAUCCUAGGCAGAAUUUGAACCAAGGUCUCCCAGACUCAGCCCUCUAUCCUUUGUGUUACAUCAUUUCCAUAUCCUUGACUACAGGAAGUCUCUACAUCAAUUGUUUCCCAGCUUUCCAGCCCUUUAGCAUGUCCCCCCUUUUGCAACUCCAUAACAAACCUGCAAUGAUGCCAAGCAUUGACCUCCCAGAACUUCUGCCAUCUGCUCAACCUGAAGCCUGGGCAGGACCAUUGGGCCACUCCUGAGAGGUCUCACCUCUGCUGCCCGGGUCUAGGGAAUCCCUCCAUCAUGCCUCUCUCCCCAUUCCCAGCCAUGUCAUCCUCCUUUGUGCCUCUGUGACUUCAUGUUCGUGGUCACUCAAAGAGCAGAUGUCAGAGUCAGUCAUUGAACUCUUGUAUUCGGAUGCCAAAUAUAGUCUUCCUUCUGCCUUACCUACCACAAUGAUUCAUGGACGUGGCCAGGACAUGGAGAAAGAGCCACUUUCUCCACGGCUGUCCCCUUGGGUGGCUUCGCUUUGCCUCUGUUUGUGAAUGUCCUAAUUCUCAUCUUCUCUGCACUCAGAUGAGAACAGUGACGCUGAGAGACACAUAGCCCAAAGACACACCGUUGGCAUCUGAAGCAAGAUUCAAACUCAGAUCUUCUCAACUCCAUGUUAUACACUUUAUCUGUCAUAUUACUUACCUUAGAGGUAACUGAGAAUUAAAUAGAACUUAGAACUAGA